AGUGAACGCUGGCGGCAGGCCUAAUACAUGCAAGUCGAACGGCAGCACAGCAGAGCUUGCUCUGUGGGUGGCGAGUGGCGGACGGGUGAGGAAUACAUGGGAAUCUGCCCAGUCGUGGGGGAUAACGUAGGGAAACUUACGCUAAUACCGCAUGCGCCCUUCGGGGGAAAGCCGGGGACCUUCGGGCCUGGCGCGAUUGGAUGAGCCCAUGUCGGAUUAGCUAGUUGGCGGGGUAAUGGCCCACCAAGGCGACGAUCCGUAGCUGGUCUGAGAGGAUGAUCAGCCACACUGGAACUGAGACACGGUCCAGACUCCUACGGGAGGCAGCAGUAGGGAAUAUUGGACAAUGGGCGCAAGCCUGAUCCAGCCAUGCCGCGUGAGUGAAGAAGGCCCUCGGGUUGUAAAGCUCUUUUGUCCGGAAAGAAAAGCGCCGGGUUAAUACCCUGGUGUCCUGACGGUACCGGAAGAUAAGCACCGGCUAACUCGUGCCAGC
rnacentral:rRNA from 1 species